UACGAAGGGGGCUAGCGUUGUUCGGAAUUACUGGGCGUAAAGGGCGCGCAGGCGGCCAUUCAAGUCAGAUGUGAAAGCCCCGGGCUCAACCUGGGAACUGCAUUUGAGACUGAACGGCUAGAGUUCGGGAGAGGAGAGUGGAAUUCCCAGUGUAGAGGUGAAAUUCGUAGAUAUUGGGAAGAACACCCGUGGCGAAGGCGGUUCUCUGGGACGGUACUGACGCUGAGACGCGAAAGCGUGGGGAGCGAACAGG
rnacentral:rRNA from 1 species